rnacentral:rRNA from 1 species
UACGUAGGGUGCAAGCGUUAAUCGGAAUUACUGGGCGUAAAGCGUGCGCAGGCGGUUAUGCAAGACAGAUGUGAAAUCCCCGGGCUCAACCUGGGAACUGCAUUUGUGACUGCAUAGCUAGAGUGCGGCAGAGGGAGAUGGAAUUCCGCGUGUAGCAGUGAAAUGCGUAGAUAUCUGGAGGAACACCGGUGGCGAAGGCGGCGUUCUGGACUGCAACUGACACUGAGAAACGAAAGCCAGGGGAGCAAACGGG